CUUAAAGCAUUCUGUAUAUAUAUCUUGGUUUAACGAUUAAUCUGGU
rnacentral:rRNA from 1 species